rnacentral:tRNA from 1 species
GACCGCGUAGCUCAGUUGGAAGAGCAUUGGGCUAGUAUUCCAAAGGUCGUAGGUUCGAAUCCCACCGUGACCG